UGGUCCUAGCCUUGUAAUCAAUUAUUAUUUAAUAUACACAUGCAAGUCUCCGCCCCCCUGUGAAAACGCCCUUAAACCCCUAAUAGGGRCUGGGAGCUGGUAUUAGGAUCAACUUUUUAGCCCAAGACACCUAGCUACGCCACACCUACACAGGAAUUCAGCAGUGAUUAACAUUGAGCAUGAGCGACAGCUUGACUCAGUUAAAGUAAAAAGAGCCGGCAAAGCUGGUGCCAGCCGCCGCGGUUACACCAUGCGGCUCGAAUUGAUUUCUUUCGGCGUAAAGCGUGGUUAAAGUCACCCUUAAAUUAUAGUUAAACUAAGAUUAAGCUGUAAUACGCUUGUAUCUAGGAAAAUCAUAAACGAAAGUUACUAUAACCACAACAACUUGAAUCCACGACAGUUGGGACACAAACUGGGAUUAGAUACCCCACUAUGCCCAACCGUAAACUUUAACUUACACCCGCAUCGCCAGGG
rnacentral:rRNA from 1 species